CAGAUCUUAAUCGUGGAAAGGUGUCCCAUGUGUCAGCAUGGGACCCCUUUCAGUCCGUUUUUGGUGCGGGUAAAUGCGCUUUCUUUUUUUGCCAAGUACGUGGAUUUAUCUCUGGACCCUGAGGUCCUGCGUUGUAUCUUCCCAAGUGGCGUGGAUGUGAGGAGACACGACAUUUCACCCGAUGUUCCAUGGGCGACCUACUGGUGAUGUGGACCUGACCCUCCGCCAUGUAGCAGACAACCACCUCAGGUACUGCGGUGUAUCUUCCCAAGUGGCGUGGAUGUGAGGAGACACGACAUUUCACCCAAUGUUCCAUGGGCGACCUACUGGUGAUGUGGACCUGACCCUCCGCCAUGUAGCAGACAACCACCUCAGAUCUUCCGGUGUAUCCUUCCUAAGUGGUGUGGACGUGAAGAGACAGAUCCCCUGAUGUUCCCUGGGCAAUCUUACAUACACUGCAUUACAAAUUUUAAUAAAAACCACAGGAAACUUCUAUUUUUAAAAGUUUAUUGAAGAUAAAAAAAAAAUUUAAUAAAGUUUGAAAGUUAAUUAAAAA